GCUUGCUUACAAGCAGCACUGAUCACACCCCGGUUGCACUGGGCUCCCAGCGGCUACAGAGUCCCGCGCUGAGCGGGAAGAGGAGCCCCCGAGCUGGGCAGGGGUGGGGUCGCGCUCCAAGCGCUGGGGACGCAGGGGGGCGGCGAGGCCGGGCCCUCCCCGAGGCCGAGCGGGGCCCACGCCCCCGGGCUCCGGUCACCCCACCCGGCCCGCUCGGCUACCCGGGCUCACCGGCUCCGGCGCUCUCCAUAGCGCUGGCGUUGGCUGGCGGCAAGUCUGUGCAGGCGGCUGCGGCCUGGCGCUGCAACCUGGGGCCAGCCGGGAGAUGACAGUGUACACUGCCAAGAUAACUGGAUUGGAAGGGUUCCAGUUCAAGCUACCACACUUUUCCUAUUCCUCCGCCCACCUCUGACCUCCGACCUCCAGGGCCUGCUGCUGAAUUGGCAUAUUUGUUCUGCCAGGCUCCUUCUGUGUGGAGUUUCUUCGGUCCUCCCCAUCAACUACAGCUGUAAAUGUUCAUCAAGUAGUGAAAUGGAGCAGGACCCUGUGGGGCCCUCCUGGUACAAAUCCUUUCCGUGUCCCCCGUUUCCUGUUUGUAGGAAAUAGGCUUCAUUCAGCCUCCUUGACCCUCCCUGAGUUCCAAAGGCAGAUUCAAACAGUUGCUAAUCAAGGAAGAGAGGGAAUUCAGAAA